UUAAAGUUUUAUUUUAUUUUAGUUAUUAGUUAUUAUAUAUACAAUUAAUUCGUACCCGGCUUGUCUAAAGUAGCAAAGUUUGGAGUCGGUGGUUUUCUGGUUUGACGUUUUUUGCUGGUAUUGGCUUGCAUGGAGCUGAGGCUUCAGUGAACAUUGUCAACGGUUACUGACACCACCGGACAUGUGUUCUCUUCUCUUUUAUCCACCGUUUUCUCCUCCAAUGAAAUCCACUGCCUUCAUCUCCAAAUCGGAAUACACGUCUUCUACCAUCUUUUAAAUACGUUGUAGCUUUUAUUUCAUAUCCAUCUGCUCCGUUUCCUAUAUCAAGCCUCCCAUGUCUUUGAAUUCUUUUUUUCUACUCACCGCCUUCACUGCGAUUCCUCUUCUAUUGUCUGCGACUCCUUGAUUUUGUGUUUUUUGGUAUUUUCAUGCCCUAAUUGUCACUCUAUAGGUCGAUUAUGGAAGAUGCAGUUCUUAUUUUGAAGUUUUUGAUUUUUUAGAAGGUAUGAUCAAAUUGGUGAUUUUUUUUACUUAUCUAACCCUCGAUUUAUUGUUUGUCACAUAAGCGGCCAUAUGAGAAGCACAAUAUAACCACCGACACCACCACGUCUUCUUCAACGACAUCUGAAGACAAUGUAGGUAAAUAGAUGAAUGCUAUUUUGGUUUCUUGUUAUUAUCACCGUAUCUGAUGUGCAUAAAUUGACCUCAUCGGGGUUCUUUCUCGAUUACCAUGUAUUGAUGGGAAAAAAAGAGCAACACACUCAUCGGUGUCGGUGAUGCUGACCGCCGGAGGGUAGUCAAUUUUAUCCGGUUCUCUCCUUAUGUGCUAAUGCUUCAUUUGGGUCGACCACAUGUUCAUGGAGCUUGAGCAAGGUAUAUCUAUCCAUUUAACUAAACAUAUCUUUUUCGUAUGAUGUAUAUCAUUUCCAAAAAGCGAGACAAACAUGUUAAUGGAAUGUACAAUUGUUAUGAGAUGUGUAUAUAUCUUGAGAUAUUGAUAUUUUUGUUCAUUU